rnacentral:rRNA from 1 species
GACGAACGCUGGCGGCGUGCUUAACACAUGCAAGUCGAGCGGAAAGGCCACUUCGGUGGUACUCGAGCGGCGAACGGGUGCGUAACACGUGAGUAAUCUGCCCCUGGCUUUGGGAUAGCCACCGGAAACGGUGAUUAAUACCGGAUACGACCACUUCUCGCAUGGGAUGGGGGUGGAAAGUUUUUUCGGCCAGGGACGGGCUCGCGGCCUAUCAGCUUGAUGGUGAGGUAAUGGCUCACCAUGGCUUCGACGGGUAGCCAGCCUGGGAGGGUGACCGGUCACACUGGGACUGGGACACGGGCGAGACUCCUGCGGGGGGCAGCAGUGGGGAAUAUUGGACAAUGGGCGGACGCCUGAUCCAGCACCGCCGCUUGGGGGAUGACGGCCUUCGGGUUGUACACCUCUUUCAGCAGGGACGAAGCGCAAGUGACGGUACCUGCAGAAGAAGCACCGGCCAACUACGUGCCAGCCGCCGCGGUAA